rnacentral:lncRNA from 1 species
GUUGUUUAUAGCGAUUACAGUGCUAUCUAUGAAAAAGGUGCUCGAAAUUCAUCAUUUCAUAUUCGGUUAAGUUUUAAGAAAAUAUUCGAAUGUUUACGGUAUGUCUUGUUGUUCGAUAAUUAUAGAUUAGCGUCGACCAUGUCAAGGAGAUAAAAUUGAUUUUCACGCUUGAGCCAGAAUGUCGAAAGCGAGAAAAAUAAUCG